rnacentral:rRNA from 1 species
AUGUGGAUAGAAACACUACUCAAUGAAUUGGGUAUUGGAAGAUCACAUGUUUCACAACUAUGGUGUGAUAAUCCUGGAGCAACUUAUCUUUCUGCAAAUCCUGUAUUUUAUGCAAGAACAAAGCAUAUAGAAAUUGUCUAUCACUUUGUUCGAGAAAGGGUUGCACAUAAAUUGUUGGAAGUACGGUUCAUUCCAACAGGAGAUCAAGUUGCUAAUGGUUUUACAAAACUCUUGCAAGCUCGACAACUUCAAGCCUUCAAGAACAAUCUAAACCUUCACACGUUGAGAUCGAGGGAGGAUGUUAAAUGA